AGUAGCGGUGAAAUGCGUAGAUAUCUGGAGGAAUACCAAAGGCGAAGGCAGUCCCCUGGUCCGAUACUGACACUGAGGUACGAAAGCGUGGGGAGCAAACAGGAUUAGAUACCCUGGUAGUCCACGCCCUAAACGAUGUCGAUUAGCCAUUGGAAGGACCCCUUUUCCUUUCAGUGACGUAGCUAACGCGUUAAAUCGACCGCCUGGGAAGUACGACCGCAAGGUUAAAACUCAAAGGAAUUGACGGGGACCUGAACAAGCGGUGGAUGAUGUGGAUUAAUUCGAUGCUACGCGAAGAACCUUACCUACCUUUGACAUGGCCAAAGUUCUACCGAGAGGCGGAAGUACUCGUAAGAGGAUUGGCGCACAGGUGCUGCAUGGUUGUCGUCAGUUCGUGUCGUGAGAUGUUGGGUUCAGUCCCGCAACGAACGCAACCCUUAUCUUUAAUUGCUCCUAUUUUAACAGGCACUUUAAAGAAACUGCCAAUGAUAAGUUGGAGGAAGGUGGGGAUCACGUCAAGUCCGCAUGGCCUUUAUAGGUAGGGCUUCACACGUCAUACAAUGGUUAGAACAAAGAGCUGCAAAUUCGUAAGAAGGAGCCAAUCUCACAAACCUAACCUCAGUUCGAAUUGCGGUCUGCAACUCGAGCGCAUGAAGCCGGAAUCGCUAGUAAUCGUGGAUCAGAAUGCCA
rnacentral:rRNA from 1 species